UCCGGUUGAUCCUGCCGGAGGCGACCGCUAUUGGAGUUCGAUUAAGCCAUGCGAGUCUAGAGGCUUAGGCCUCGGCGUACCGCUCAGUAACACGUGGAUAACCUGCCCUGUUCAGGGGGAUAACCUCGCGAAAGUGAGAAUAAUACCCCAUAGUUCACCAUGCCUGGAACGGUUGGUGGAUGAAAGCUCAGGCGGAACAGGAUGGGUCUGCGGCGUAUCAGGUAGUAGGGGGUGUAAUGGACCUCCUAGCCAUCGACGCGUACGGGUUGUGGGAGCAAUCGCCCGGAGAUGGAUUCUGAGACACGAAUCCAGACCCUACGGGGUGCAGCAGGCGCGAAAACUUGACAAUGCGAGAAAUCGUGAUCAGGGAAAAUUGACUCUAAACAGGUCGAGUAAUAGGGGCGGGAAAUAUCGGUGCCAGCCGCCGCGGUAAUACCGAAGCCCCAAGUGGUCGUCGUUCUUAUUGGGCCUAAAACGUCCGUAGCCGGUUUGGUACAUUCGUGGGUAAAUCAGACAGCUUAACUGUCUGAAUUCUGCGAGCACGGCCAAACUUGAGACCGGGAGAGGUGUAGGGUACCUGCGGGGUAGGGGUAAAAUCCUGUCAUCCCGUAGGGACCACCAGUUGCGAAGGCUCUACACUAGAACGGAUCUGACGGUCAGGGACGAAGCCUAGGGGCACGAACCGGAUUAGAUACCCGGGUAGUCCUAGGUGUAAACGCUGUGGACUUUGUGUCGGGGAUUCUUCGAGGAUUCUCGGUGCCGGAGUGAAGAUGUUAAGUCCACUGCCUGGGGAGUACGGUCGCAAGGCUGAAACUUAAAGGAAUUGGCGGGGGAGCACUGCAACGAGAGGAGCGUGCGGUUUAAUUGGAUUCAACGCCGGAAAACUCACCAAAGCCGACUGUUAGAUGAAGACCAGCGUAACGAGCUUGUCGGAUUUUCAGAGAGGUAGUGCAUGGCCGUCGUCAGUUCGUACCGUAAGGCGUUCUGUUAAGUCAGAUAACGAACGAGACCCCCAUCGUCAUUUGCUAACCCUUUCUCCGGAAAGGGCGCACUAUGGCGAGACCGCUGGCGUGAAGUCAGAGGAAGGCGGGGGCAACGGUAGGUCAGUAUGCUCCGAAUGCUUUGGGCUACACGCGCGCUACAAAGGACGGGACAAUGGGCAGCUACUCCGAGAGGAGAUGCUAUCCCGAAACCCGUUCGUAGUUCGGAUCGUGGGCUGUAACUCGCCCUCGUGAAGCUGGAUUUCGUAGUAAUCGCGUCUCAAAAUGGCGCGGUGAAUAUGCCCCUGCUCCUUGCACACACCGCCCGUCAAACCAUCUUAGUUUGGGGUGGGUGAGGCUACCUUUAAUUGGGGUAUUCGAGCCUGCCUUAGACAAGGAGGGUUAAGUCGUAACAAGGUAUCUGUA
rnacentral:rRNA from 1 species